CGAAUCAUAAACACUGUAUUUCUAAGUUAACUUAAAUAACAGACGGUUUAGGAGAUGUCAUUAGCUUAACUUGCAUUUCAAAUGCAAUUUAUAAAUAUGAAAUUAAAUCGCAUUUGAGCAAUUUCUCAAAAUGCAAACUGCAACUUAUAAAUAGCCCAAUGAUUCGCAACUGUCCAAGAAAGAAUUUUGGGGGUUCUUUUUUUUCUUUAAUUCCUUGUUGUUCUAAUUGAUUCUUCUUAGUUUAAACCCUAGCUCAUUCUCUCUAGUAUUUUCCUUCGCGCUGCCUAUUUCUCUCUUCGUAUUCAGAACUGGAACAACUUCGUUGCCUUCGACUGUUGUAUCCCGACUUGAGGCAAGACCUAGAAGCUUCCAUGGCUGCAUCUGAACAUGGUAUCAGAGCCAUGGCAACAAAUUGAUCACGCAUUCCACGCUCUCGUGACUGUAAGUCAAUUGUUUCUCAUUCUCUGUAGUCGCUAGGUCGAAUUUAUUCUUCGACGUCAACAAUGGUGGCAAUUAAGAUAGAUCAUACUCAUCCUUUGUUUGUGCAUCCAUCAGACACUCCAAACUCUGCUUUAAUUCCGGUUGAGCUCCAAGGAUCCGAGAAUUAUGGGUUGUGGGGAAGGUCGAUGAGAAUUGCACUCCAAGCCAAGCGAAAGCUAGGGUUUGUUACUGGUGCAUGUGUUAAGGAAUAAUUUCCUAAUGUAUUGCAUGAGGAUUUGGAGACAUGUAAUGCAAUUGUCCUAUCUUGGAUCAUGAACACGGUAUCUCCACAUUUGUUGAGUGGAGUUGCUUAUGCUUCGAAUGCACAUUUGAAACUAAUGGAACAAUAAGAACAACAAGUGAUUUAAAUUUAAAAAAAUGAGAGAUUUUGGAUUACUUAACAGAUAAAGGGGUAUUUUUAAAAGUUUGCUGAUUGUAGAGGUAAAUUUGGCACGAUAGUAUAACAGAUGUUAAAUGUAGACAAUAUAUGAAAGUAGAGGGUAUAUUUGGCCCUUUUUCCAAUUAAAUUUAAUAUAUAUAUAUAUAUACACAUACUAUUAUUUUAAUUUAUUACUUAAUCAUAAUCUACGAUAUAAUAUUAUUAAUUGUAAUCAUGUAGGACCCUAAAAUUUUGAAAAUAGGUGUCAAAAUAGUGCACACUUCUUUAAAGUUCUCAAGAGGCGAGGACGAAAAGAACUUUCAAGUUCCACUCUGCUGUUUUAAAUUUGUUUAGUGAUGAUAAUAGUAUUUGUUUUCUAAAUGUGUUUAAGACUUUUGGAAAUAUUUACUAUUUUUUUCCUGUAAUAAGCGAAAUACCAAAAUAGUUAGUGUUGCAUCCUGAAAUGUGCUAAUUAACACUAUUAGUCUUCAUCCUUGAUGCAAAAAUCACAUAUUUUAUUGUUAAGAGGAAUAAUGACGUGGGUUAGUUAGAUAAUUAGCUAGUGUUAACCCCAAUUUAUUAUGUGGGUUAGUAGUCAGUUAGUUGGAGUUAGUUGUAUAAAUGUAUGUGUACAGUACAUAGCAGAUAUAGUGGAAAAAAUAAAUUUCUCUUCCUCUUCUCUAUUUCUCUCUUCUCUCUCGACCUAGAAGCUUCCAUGGCUGCAUCUCAAUAUGGUAUUAGAGCCAUGGCAACAAAUUGAUCACGCAUUCCACGCUCUCGUGACUGUAAGUCAAUUGUUUCUCAAAAUGUGUUUAAGUCUAGUUUUUUGCUAUUAUAAUAAUCUAAUUCUUUUCCUAUACAUUCUAGUUUGAUUAGAAGUUUGCUUUUGCUAAG